GUGGAAGGCCGUAUAGAGAGGCUGUACUAAUGGAUUCCAGGUGGGAUCUAAUCGUCGUGGGGGUAUGGACUGACCUCUUGCAAAGAAAUGCUCUACGAUGGUCGUUAGCUAGAGUUGACAAUAACAUAAUUAUUGGAACUAUGCUGCGUCGUAACAAUAAACACAGAUGCUUGGAAACCUCGGAUU